CUUGGGCGCGGCUUUAUACAUGCGAGUCGAACGUCUCCCUGUUGCGGGAGGCGUGGCGUACGGCUCAGUAACACGUAGUCAACCUGCCCUGAAGACAUGGACAACCCCGGGAAACUGGGCCUAAUCCGUGAUAGGCCACCACAUCUGGAAGGAGUGAUGGCCCAAAGGGGCGUGCAGGCUUCUUCUGCACGUCUGCUCCAGGAUGGGACUGCGGCCGAUCAGGCUGUUGGCGGUGUAAUGGACCACCAAACCUGUAACCGGUACGGGCUUUGAGAGAAGGAGCCCGGAGAUGGACACUGAGAAAAGGGUCCAGGUCCUACGGGGCGCAGCAGGCGCGGAACCUUCGCAAUGCGCGAAAGCGUGACGAGGUUAGUCCGAGUGGCUUCCGCUGAGGAGGUCUUUUGCUAGCUGUAAAAAGGCUGGAGAAUAAGGGGAGGGCAAGCCUGGUGU
rnacentral:rRNA from 1 species